rnacentral:rRNA from 1 species
CGCAAGCCUGACCCAGCAACGCCGCGUGAAGGAAGAAGGCUUUCGGGUUGUAAACUUCUUUUGUCGGGGACGAAACAAAUGACGGUACCCGACGAAUAAGCCACGGCUAACUACGUGCCAGCAGCCGCGGUAAUACGUAGGUGGCAAGCGUUAUCCGGAUUUACUGGGUGUAAAGGGCGUGUAGGCGGGAUUGCAAGUCAGAUGUGAAAACUGGGGGCUCAACCUCCAGCCUGCAUUUGAAACUGUAGUUCUUGAGUGCUGGAGAGGCAAUCGGAAUUCCGUGU